UAUGGAGGGGGCAAGUGUUGUUGGGAAUUACUGCGCGUAAAGCGCGCGUAGGUGGUUUGUUAAGUUGGAUGUGAAAGCCCCGGGCUCAACCUGGGAACUGCAUCCAAAACUGGCAAGCUAGAGUACGGUAGAGGGUGGUGGAAUUUCCUGUGUAGCGGUGAAAUGCGUAGAUAUAGGAAGGAACACCAGUGGCGAAGGCGACCACCUGGACUGAUACUGACACUGAGGUGCGAAAGCGUGGGGAGCAAACAGG
rnacentral:misc_RNA from 1 species